ACGGGAGGCAGCAGUGGGGGAUAUUGCACAAUGGGGGAAACCCUGAUGCAGCGACGCCGCGUGAGUGAUGAAGUACUUCUGUACGUAAAGCUCUAUCAGUAGGGAAGAUAAUGACGGUACCUAACUAAGAAGCACCGGCUAAAUACGUGCCAGCAGCCGCGGUAAUACGUAUGGUGCAAGCGUUAUCCGGAUUUACUGGGUGUAAAGGGAGCGUAGACGGCAUGGCAAGCCAGAUGUGAAAGGCAGGGGCUCAACUCCUGGACUGCAUUUGGAACUGUCAAGCUAGAGUAUCGGAGAGGUAAGUGGAAUUCCUAGUGUAGCGGUGAAAUGCGUAGAUAUUAGGAGGAACACCAGUGGCGAAGGCGGCUUGCUGGACGAUAACUGACGUUGAGGCUCGAAAGCGUGGGGAGCAAACAGGAUUAGAUACCCUGGUA
rnacentral:rRNA from 1 species